UUCAAGAUAUCCUUAUCAUUGAUAGAGUUGAUUCAAAAGUUGUAGUGUUCGUUUGACCUUAAGGUAGUAUCUUCUCUCAAUGGACAUUUAACGAAGGUUAUGAGUGUCAAAUUUGCAGUUGAGAGUGAAGUUGUUGUUAGUGGCUCACGGAUAAGCAUGCAAGAUGGCAAGCUUGGAUCUUUCCUGAUGCAGCCAGCAAAAACCUUCACUUUGGAACUAUUA